rnacentral:pre_miRNA from 1 species
GGCGGGGGGGAGGGUCCCUCAGCCUGGAUUGUGAGAGGGCACAGGCCAGGCCAAGGGACCCCACCGGUGCACA